UGGGGAAUAUUGCGCAAUGGGGGGAACCCUGACGCAGCAACGCCGCGUGAAGGAAGAAGGUUUUCGGAUUGUAAACUUCAGCAAACAGGGAAGAGAAGGACUGUACCUGAUUGGAAGCCACGGCUAACUACGUGCCAGCAGCCGCGGUAAUACGUAGGUGGCAAGCGUUGUCCGGAUUUACUGGGUGUAAAGGGCGUGUAGACGGUUAGAUAAGUCAGUGGUGAAAUACCCGGGCUCAACCCGGGAACUGCCAUUGAAACUGUAUAACUUGAGUGCAGGAGAGGAAAGCGGAAUUCCUAGUGUAGCGGUGAAAUGCGUAGAUAUUAGGAGGAACACCAGUGGCGAAGGCGGCUUUCUGGACUGUAACUGACGUUGAGGCGCGAAAGCGUGGGGAGCAAACAGG
rnacentral:rRNA from 1 species